AAACUUUCAACAACGGAUCUCUUGGCUCUCGCAUCGAUGAAGAACGCAGCGAAAUGUGAUAAGUAAUGUGAAUUGCAGAAUUCAGUGAAUCAUCGAAUCUUUGAACGCACCUUGCGCUUUCUGGUAUUCCGGAGAGCAUGCCUGUUUGAGUGUCAUGA
rnacentral:rRNA from 1 species